UGGUUCGGGCCAAAACUUUCUAUGCUAGAAAAGCUAAAGUCAAUGUCUCCGAGGUCAAUGUUCCAGUGGUUGGUGGUCAUGCUGGAAUAACUAUCCUCCCACUAUUGUCCCAAGCCACUCCGAAGGCAAAUUUUGUCAGAUGAAGAAACCGUGGCACUCAUCAAGCGAACCAAGGAGGGUGGCACAGAGGCUGUGGAGGCUAAAGCUGGAAAGGGUUCAGCCACCCUCUCAGUGGCGUAUGUUUCUAGUUAUGCUCUUUAUCUUAGUUUUUGAG